AGUGAACGCUGGCGGUAGGCCUAACACAUGCAAGUCGAACGGCAGCACAGUAAGAGCUUGCUCUUACGGGUGGCGAGUGGCGGACGGGUGAGGAAUACAUCGGAAUCUACUUUUUCGUGGGGGAUAACGUAGGGAAACUUACGCUAAUACCGCAUACGACCUACGGGUGAAAGCAGGGGAUCUUCGGACCUUGCGCGAUUGACUGAGCCGAUGUCGGAUUAGUUAGUUGGCGGGGUAAAGGCCCACCAAGGCGACGAUCCGUAGCUGGUCUGAGAGGAUGAUCAGCCACACUGGAACUGAGACACGGUCCAGACUCCUACGGGAGGCGGCAGUGGGGAAUAUUGGACAAUGGGCGCAAGCCUGAUCCAGCCAUACCGCGUGGGUGAAGAAGGCCUUCGGGUUGUAAAGCCCUUUUGUUGGGAAAGAAAAGCAGCAGGUUAAUACCCCGCUGUUCUGACGGUACCCAAAGAAUAAGCACCGGCUAACUUCGUG
rnacentral:rRNA from 1 species